rnacentral:rRNA from 1 species
UACGAAGGGGGCUAGCGUUGCUCGGAAUUACUGGGCGUAAAGGGCGCGUAGGCGGAUGUUUAAGUCGGGGGUGAAAGCCCAGGGCUCAACCCUGGAAUUGCCUUCGAUACUGGACAUCUUGAGUGCGGGAGAGGUGAGUGGAACUCCGAGUGUAGAGGUGAAAUUCGUAGAUAUUCGGAAGAACACCAGUGGCGAAGGCGACUCACUGGCCCGUUACUGACGCUGAGGUGCGAAAGCGUGGGGAGCAAACAGG